rnacentral:rRNA from 1 species
UACGAAAGGUGCAAGCGUUACUCGGAAUCACUGGGCGUAAAGCGCACGUAGGCGGACUCGCAGGUCAAUUGUGAAAUACCUGGGCUCAACCCGGGAACUGCAGUUGAAACCGCUUGUCUUGAAUACCUGAGAGGGUGGGGGAAUACCUGGUGGAGAAGUGAAAUUCGUAGAGAUCGGGUGGAACACCGGAGGCGAAGGCGCCUGCCUGGCAGUGUAUUGACGCUGAGGUGCGAAAGUGCGGGGAGCAAACAGG